rnacentral:rRNA from 1 species
GACGAACGCUGGCGGCGUGCUUAACACAUGCAAGUCGAGCGGGGAUACGAGGGAGCUUGCUCCUGAGUAUUCUAGCGGCGGACGGGUGAGUAACGCGUGAGCAACCUUUCUCUCAGUGGGGAAUAACACAGGGAAACUUGUACUAAUACCGCAUGAGACCACAGAACCGCAUGGUUUAGGGGUCAAAGAUUUAUUGCUGAGAGGUGGGCUCGCGUCUGAUUAGGUAGUUGGUGAGGUAACGGCCCACCAAGCCGACGAUCAGUAGCCGACCUGAGAGGGUGAUCGGCCACAUUGGGACUGAGACACGGCCCAAACUCCUACGGGAGGCAGCAGUGGGGAAUAUUGCACAAUGGGGGAAACCCUGACCCAGCAACGCCGCGUGGAGGAAGAAGGUUUUCGGAUCGUAAACUCCUGUCCUCAGGGAAGAGCAGAAGACGGUACCUGAGGAGGAAGCCCCGGCUAACUACGUG